CCUUGAUCAAAAUAUUUCAAGUGAAAGUUGAGAUGUUCGGAUGAUUAAAGAAUACCACGGCACGUGUAUUGAUGAGAGAGCAGAAGGAUCUUAUCUAAGAAUUUCUAAUGAUGAUCUUUGUUUGCAAUAUUUGGUAUGGAGGUGCGUUUGCAUUAUUUUCUACAAAUGUAUGCAUUAAGAGUGGGAUAUGUCAUAAGCAUCCGUGUCUGAAACAAGAUGCCCAACAUGUGUGUCAGAAGAAUAAUGCAACACUCGUUAAACUUGAUUCUCCUCAAAAGAACAAGGCAGUACCGACUUAUCUUAGAUCGAAAGGUUCUUUUGGUGUUGCCUACUUCACUGCUGACCAAUAUUGCUUCCUAGUGCCUACUGGUGGCAGAAUAUUACAGUCGACCGCUUUUUGUAACCGUCAUGACUAUAAACCUGGAUAUAUAUGUGAAAAGUCGCUGCCAUAGCAGCACAAUUUCACUGUCUUGUAUUACUACAGAGAUAGACUCAAGAAGACAUACAUAACCACAACCUCUUUUUGAAAACGUAUAAACUUGAUUUUUAAUACAAACUUGUCAGAUUUGUAACGUAUUAGAAAGUCUGAUAAAUCACACUGGCCUACAGGCGAGUGAAAUUUUCCAAUUUUUUUUGACAAUUACCACUUACAAAUAUGACAUAUUUCUCCAGUUCUACUGUAUAUAAAUACUGUAAAAGAAUACAUUGGUGUUGGAUACUAA